CUAACUAUAGUUGUAAGUUGAAACAGCUGUAGAUUGUGGUUAACUUUAUCGAAUACUUUUGAGAAAUCCAUUAUUAAUUCAUCUGUUUGUUUCGAAUUUAUCAAUAUUUAUUGUGACAUUAUCUAUACAUUCCAAGAGCUGAGAUUCGCAAGUUCAAAAAUGUCGUAAGCCGUAUUGAAGGGGAUACAAAAUGUAUGGUUGUCUGCGUGUAUCAUGAUGGCACUUACUACAUAUUCCAUAAUUUCGCAACAUAUGCAUGUCAAAGAAAUUGGUCUAUAAUAAUCUGGAUUAUAUUUACACCCGUUCUUGUAAAUUGGGGAGACAUGUGCAGUUUGCAAAUCAAUGGACACUUCGCCAGUGUCUAAUGAUUUUUGAAAGAUAAGGCGUAUGAUACUGAUGUUUCAAACAACUUUAAACUUUGUUUGGAUUGUAAAAGGAUGAUAUGUUAAGUGACCUGCUACCCAUAGUUUUCCAGUGGCAAAAGAUGGACGAAAGAUACCAGAGGGACAGUCAAACUCAUAGAUCGAAAACAAACUGACAACGCCAGGGCCAAAAAUAAUUGCUGUUAAAAAGUGUAAAAAUUGAAGAAAAGAAACUGCAUACAUUCAAUAUUUUACCUUUGAAAAAUUGUCUAUAUGGAGUUAACUAUAAAACAAAAGGUCUGUGUAGUGUCCUUAACUCAAUUACCGAGGUUAUUUUAAUUACAGUUCACGUCAGAAAUACAUGUUCUGUUGUGAUUGUUAUGCGUAAGCCUGAUAGUUUGUGAUGAUGAUUAUUUUGAUGGGCAAUAUGCAUAUAUUUAUUCAUUUAAAGAUCUGUUCUGUUUUUUCAGAAUAUAAAAGAUAAUACUUUUUUCACUAUGAUUUCUUUGUAUUUUCUAAUUGGUUUAUUUGAAUUAUAAUUGAACAUAACACUUGUGAACGAUCAUCAAAGAUAUACAUUUCCUGAAGUUAAUUAUUCAAAUAGUUUUAGUAACCAGCAUCUUCCUCGCCAGAUACAAAUUAGAAUAUGGAAUAUUUCUGGAUGUUUUUUUUCCACUUACCAAAUGAGUCUUACAAACUUUAAGCAUUACUUUUUCAGGAUAACACAUUUGUUUUCUAUUGUGUGUAUCUUUUUGUUUUACCUCCAUGUGCAACCUAAAUACUACCUUUAUUCUAAUUUAUUCGAAAAUGAAAUAUGCUGUCCCUAAUAUAUGUAAUAUACUAUGUAUAAUUAGUCAUACGUGUAUUGUUUGUUAUUGCUGUUGAAAAUGGUGCAUCGUGUGAAAUGUAAUAUCUUGAAUAAAAUGUUUUGUCACCGUU